AGAGUUUGAUCCUGGCUCAGGAUGAACGCUGGCGGCGUGCCUAAUACAUGCAAGUCGAACGCACAGCGAAAGGUGCUUGCACCUUUCAAGUGAGUGGCGAACGGGUGAGUAACACGUGGACAACCUGCCUCAAGGCCGGGGAUAACAUUUGGAAACAGAUGCUAAUACCGAAUAAAACUCAGUGUCGCAUGACACAAAGUUAAAAGGCGCUUUGGCGUCACCUAGAGAUGGAUCCGCGGUGCAUUAGUUAGUUGGUGGGGUAAAGGCCUACCAAGACAAUGAUGCAUAGCCGAGUUGAGAGACUGAUCGGCCACAUUGGGACUGAGACACGGCCCAAACUCCUACGGGAGGCUGCAGUAGGGAAUCUUCCACAAUGGGCGAAAGCCUGAUGGAGCAACGCCGCGUGUGUGAUGAAGGCUUUCGGGUCGUAAAGCACUGUUGUAUGGGAAGAACAGCUAGAAUAGGGAAUGAUUUUAGUUUGACGGUACCAUACCAGAAAGGGACGGCUAAAUACGUGCCAGCAGCCGCGGUAAUACGUAUGUCCCGAGCGUUAUCCGGAUUUAUUGGGCGUAAAGCGAGCGCAGACGGUUGAUUAAGUCUGAUGUGAAAGCCCGGAG
rnacentral:rRNA from 1 species